ensembl:lncRNA
GACAUGGCCAGAAAUGGCCGAAUGGCUUUAUGGCUCUGCUGGGGGUGAUCUCAGCCCCUCUGGUGGUGGCCGACCGGGGGUGUUGCUCUCCUGCCUCCUCAGGACCUAGUUCUUGCUUGCCCAGACCAGUCACUACCCGUACCAGCCGUCCCCGUUCCCUGGAGGACACGUGAUACACGAGGGUUUGCACUGCCUCUGCUCUCAGAGGCAGAAGGGAAAGACUUGGGAUAGUAACGUGCAGGCUGAGUGGAAGAGCGGGUGGGGCAGAGGGAUGGAGCACGGGGCUCCACCCUUCCACCCUCCUGGGCCCCGUCCCCCUUCUGUUGCUCCAUCUGGCCCACGUGUCUGGACUGGUUUGGAGGAGGGGCAAGGGCUCAGCUUACGAAAACGUAGAGUUGUCAGGCUGCUUUAGAGAGGGUGCUGAGUCUCUUCUCUUGUCAUCUACGUAGCAAAGUCCAAGCACUAAACACGAACCCUAAUGACACUGCCUGCUGCUGUCAGCCGCCUGAAACCAGAGCCACCCAGACAGUGCGGGGGCCAGAGGAGUCAGUCAGGAGAGCUGGGGGCCCCGACUCUUCACCCUCAGCGCUGCCUCCACUGAGGUGACCCGACCUUGCCCCAAGAGCACAGGGCCGGCUUCUGGGGAGCUGACAUCCACUCUUCGGGGAGCGUCCCUCCUUCACCUCUGGUCACAUCCUCUUGGCCCCGACUCCGCUUUCUGUUGCCUGGACAGAGCCCUGCUGUCCCUGCCAGCGCUGCCUCUCUGCGGGGCUCCGUGGCCCUCCACAGUCCUCUCUCUGCCUCUGACCACCUGUGCUGCUGCUCAGCCUCUCGGCGGCUGGCUGAGCUUCUGCAGGGAGCAGCUCUUUGAAUUCCCAACACUGAGCACAUAGCAGGAACUCUCCAGUAACGUCUAGCCUCUCCAGUUACCCCUGCCCGAGGCCUUCUAAAGCUCCAGUGGAUCUGUACAGUUCUUGUCUGCACCCCUACACUCUAUCAAGAACGAAUCGUGUAUGUAUUCUGAUGCCCAACUAGACUGUAAGCUCCCAAGGUCAGCACUCAGCACCAUGUUGGGUUUGGAGGAAAAACGUCAGUUGGGGGAAAGAGAAUGUGUCCCUUAGUCCAACGACGACAGCAAAGAGAAGCAGUUUGAGUGGUUACAGCCCUGGGGGUGUGGCCACGUCUGAUGAGCUGCUUCCAGGGGGUGCCUGUGGGAGGACGCGGAGGACGGAGGACAGCAGCUGGCCAGGCCUCUGAGAUGACCCUCCCCUGUGUAUUGCCUUUAAAGUCCUGAAGCUCACUGAGGGCAGCUCACGAGGGCUCUUGAUGCUGGGGCCACUGCGUGCGCGCGCACGCACGCGUUGUCAUUUUGUGUUCUGGCCACGGGGGCUGUAUCGCUUAGUCUGAAGUUCAGAGAAGUGCACAUCUGGAACUUCGGGAGAGAAUACGGCAAGGCCUGGGUCUGGGGCUGCCUUCUGUUCCCUCUACUCAAUUCCCAUCAGUCUCAGAGGGAAUAUCACAGUAUCUCUGAUCACAGCGGUUCCAAGAAUCACACACACACCACCACAGUUGAAGAAUAUUUAACUUUUCUUAAAAAAAAAUCUUAACCAUGAAAGGAAGAAAAUAAAAGAGUAUACAUUAUUUUAACAGC